GGAGAGGUGGCUGAGUGGCCGAAAGCGGCACCUUGCUAAGGUGUUAGAGACGCAAGUCUCUCGUGGGUUCGAAUCCCACCCUCUCCGCCA
rnacentral:tRNA from 1 species